GUUGAAGAUAUCAGUCGCGUGACCGCGCAACUGCCGUUCAGAAGCAAAGUCCUGACGAUACAGUUGCGACGGAGACUGCCCAGGGGGAUGGGGAGGAAGGAAAGAGAGGCCGCGAAAAACGCAACACCGCCUUCAGUGUCGUGGCACAGGGCCCAGUGCCUCCACCCCCACCAGGCAGCAUUUAACAUGGCCGUUACUUCCAAAGCAAGCAUGGGGAGAGGACGCAUAGGAACGCCAGGGUGAUAGGAAGAAGUGGAUAAGUACCAGACUCCCAAGCUUGUGUUCCGCCAGCGUUUCGAGGGGCAGCGCCAAGACGGAAGAGGUAAGACAAUGGAAUUUGUUAAGGUGUGGACGUCUGUCUGUGUCUGCUGUCCUCUGAAUCCAAGCGCAGUAAUCCCGCGCCAGACAAUAGCCAAGAUGGCCGCUCUAUUGUUGUCUGGCUGGCAAUGUCCCUCUGCAAUCCAGAAUGCGCAGCCAUGUUAGAGUUAACC